UUGUUCUAAUUCAUAGGGGUCUUGUUAACUAGAAUCUACUAGGUGAUACUUCCUCGCGAACUCAGAGUGAAGAGAAAUAAGACCCAAAUGGAGCCUUUAUGUCAAGAGCCCUGCACGUAGCAAUGGAAAUUCAGGUUUAGCGAGUUGUGUUGGAGCUAGUUUUGGUUUCAGUUUAAGUUUAGAAUAACUAACGAGCAGUUGCAUUUGUUGACACCUCGUUUCAACUAGGAUUUUCAGUAGCCUAGACUUCUAUAGAAGUUCCUUUGCAUAUUGUUUUGUCUUAUUUGGAUUGGGAAUGUGCCUCUAAUAAAGCCUCUCCCCAUCUGCUAAAAAAGCAAGGAGCGACGAGGAGAUCGACAACAUGGAAGGGUAAGCCUAAAACCUGUUGUCGAAGUUACAUGCUAUAGAAGUUCCUUUGAAUAUUGUUUUUUCUUGUUUGGAUUGGGAAUGUGCCUCUAAGAGGGUUUCCUCAGGCUUUACAUGCUUACUUAUAGCGUAAACUUUUCCUAGAGUGUUUGAACAAGGUUGGGGAUCGUCAGUGACUUCGAACUUUCCACUUUUGCAAGUAGAGACUUAAGGUGCUUUGGGGGGAAACAAUUAAGAUGAGGUUUUAAUUGAAGGAGUUUUUUUAGUCAAAUAUUUAUACAUAGCCUGGAAACAAAAAUAUAAUCCUUGAUCUUAGAAAGCUUAUUCUUCCUCCGGAUGUUUGGCUCGUCUUUCUACUUCCUUUUCAGAACUCCAUGGUGGAGGAAGAAGAAGGGAUGAAGAGAACAACAUUGUUUCCUGGAGUGCAUCAUCAACGACGUCUUAUCAGCCUCGGUCCGCUCAUAGCUGAAGGACGGCUGCUCUGAGCUUUGACGCCGAUUUCAAAGUCAUCUCUCCCAAAAAUCUUGACCAGUGUGCCAAAAGGGAGGUGAUGAGGCGGCUUCUCGGCAAUGCCCACCAUGAGGGGCUUAGGGUUGACGGAAGGCGACGAUGGAGAUUCCGGGAGCGAGAGAAGGCACGAUGUACCUAGGUUCACGUCCCCGCGGUGGAGGAUCGCUACGUCCUGCUAGAAAUCCAGUAUACGAUAAUAUGUGUACAGGGGACCGCCGUAGGCGGAGUUAUAUCUAGUCUAGCUAGUUCUAAUAUGCGGGUUGCGAUGUCUAGGCGUAUCACAUGUAUGUUUUUCUGUUUCUAAAUAUGAUCUAGGGGAUGCCCCUGUCUGGAUUUAUAUAUGCAACCAGGCUAGGGUUUACAAGAGUUCUAGUAGAAUAUGAAUUGGAGUCUUCUUUGUUGUAGUCCAAGUUGAUAUUAUGUGUGGGGCCAGCUUGUCGA